rnacentral:rRNA from 2 species
GACGAACGCUGGCGGCGUGCCUAAUACAUGCAAGUCGAACGAACUCUGGUAUUGAUUGGUGCUUGCAUCAUGAUUUACAUUUGAGUGAGUGGCGAACUGGUGAGUAACGCGUGGGAAACCUGCCCAGAAGCGGGGGAUAACACCUGGAAACAGAUGCUAAUACCGCAUAACAACUUGGACCGCAUGGUCCGAGUUUGAAAGAUGGCUUCGGCUAUCACUUUUGGAUGGUCCCGCGGCGUAUUAGCUAGAUGGUGGGGUAACGGCUCACCAUGGCAAUGAUACGUAGCCGACCUGAGAGGGUAAUCGGCCACAUUGGGACUGAGACACGGCCCAAACUCCUACGGGAGGCAGCAGUAGGGAAUCUUCCACAAUGGACGAAAGUCUGAUGGAGCAACGCCGCGUGAGUGAAGAAGGGUUUCGGCUCGUAAAACUCUGUUGUUAAAGAAGAACAUAUCUGAGAGUAACUGUUCAGGUAUUGACGGUAUUUAACCAGAAAGCCACGGCUAACUACGUGCCAGCAGCCGCGGUAAUACGUAGGUGGCAAGCGUUGUCCGGAUUUAUUGGGCGUAAAGCGAGCGCAGGCGGUUUUUUAAGUCUGAUGUGAAAGCCUUCGGCUCAACCGAAGAAGUGCAUCGGAAACUGGGAAACUUGAGUGCAGAAGAGGACAGUGGAACUCCAUGUGUAGCGGUGAAAUGCGUAGAUAUAUGGAAGAACACCAGUGGCGAAGGCGGCUGUCUGGUCUGUAACUGACGCUGAGGCUCGAAAGUAUGGGUAGCAAACAGGAUUAGAUACCCUGGUAGUCCAUACCGUAAACGAUGAAUGCUAAGUGUUGGAGGGUUUCCGCCCUUCAGUGCUGCAGCUAACGCAUUAAGCAUUCCGCCUGGGGAGUACGGCCGCAAGGCUGAAACUCAAAGGAAUUGACGGGGGCCCGCACAAGCGGUGGAGCAUGUGGUUUAAUUCGAAGCUACGCGAAGAACCUUACCAGGUCUUGACAUACUAUGCAAAUCUAAGAGAUUAGACGUUCCCUUCGGGGACAUGGAUACAGGUGGUGCAUGGUUGUCGUCAGCUCGUGUCGUGAGAUGUUGGGUUAAGUCCCGCAACGAGCGCAACCCUUAUUAUCAGUUGCCAGCAUUAAGUUGGGCACUCUGGUGAGACUGCCGGUGACAAACCGGAGGAAGGUGGGGAUGACGUCAAAUCAUCAUGCCCCUUAUGACCUGGGCUACACACGUGCUACAAUGGAUGGUACAACGAGUUGCGAACUCGCGAGAGUAAGCUAAUCUCUUAAAGCCAUUCUCAGUUCGGAUUGUAGGCUGCAACUCGCCUACAUGAAGUCGGAAUCGCUAGUAAUCGCGGAUCAGCAUGCCGCGGUGAAUACGUUCCCGGGCCUUGUACACACCGCCCGUCACACCAUGAGAGUUUGUAACACCCAAAGUCGGUGGGGUAACCUUUUAGGAACCAGCCGCCUAAGGUGGGACAGAUGAUUAGGGUG